UGCUUGCCUGCGUUAAGGAUUGUAACAGAAAUCCUUUUUGUGAGGCACGAGCAAAAAGAUUGGAGUGAAAAGCCUGACGCACU
rnacentral:sRNA from 1 species